rnacentral:lncRNA from 1 species
ACAGUGGACAAGAUAAAUACAUGUAUCGUCUAUCAUUAUUAGUUGUUCUUUUUCACUACCCAACAUUAUUACCACACUAACAUGUGUAUUAUAGACAAGUUAGUUUAUAAAAAAAAUAGAACAACAAGUUAGGGAACAAAAUAUGGACAUAUUACAGACAUCGGGGCUGGUCCACCAGAUCUAGUCUACCGGAUCUAGUCCACGAGAUUUGGUCCACCAGAUUAGUCCACGAGAUUUGGUCCACCAGAUUAGUCCACGAGAUUUGGUCCAUCUACAGACAAAUGUGUGGUCAAGAGUGUAAACGUAGAAGGAUCUUAAAUGAUAUUUCCAUAAAUGCAUCACUUGUUUCAUCAUCUGGUCGAUCGCUUAUGGCUUCAAAAGAUCUGCGUGAUGGACACGAUUGCUUAGUAAAAAUAGACAAGUUUGGUCCACUAGAACUGGUUCACUGGAUAUUGUCUACCUGAUCUGGUCCACCGAGAUUAGCUCGUCGGAAAUAGAAUAUACAAUUUCUAUGGAGCAUCUGCAAAGCUGAUUGAGAUCCCUUUGUAGGAAAAACAUGGGUGAAAAAGAUUUCACGCACUGGUUCACUGAAUAUGGUCCACCGGAUCUGAUCUACCAGAUCUGGUCCAUCGAAUUGACCCAGUGGAGAUGCAGCAGACAACUUCUAAACAACAUCUGCAGAGCUAAUUGAUAUCUUUUUGUCAGAGCAAACGCUUGUGAAAUUAGAAAUCUCUUUUUUUUGUUAUUGGAGAAAGAAAGAGGAAAGUGAAAGAAGAAAAAAAAGAAACAGAGGAGAGAGAGAAAGAUACGAGAGAUAUGAGACAUGAGAAAAGAAAAGAAGAGUUCAUUAGAAAGAGGGUAUGAUAGUCUUUUAGUACAUAGGUUGUGGCAGGCGGGAGAAGAUAAAAACACUAAUGGCACUGAAUAAAAGAUUUGUCACUGUAUAUGGCAGAACUGACAAUUUUCUCUUAUAUAUAUAUAUAUACUUAUAUAGAUAUACAUCUAUAUAAGCAUUUUUGUUGUGAUAUCUAGAAAAAAGUGCAAAUCUGGAUUGUUUUUUUUUGGUUGGAAAAAAACAAAUGCUUUGCUGGAUUAAUUCUAAAAAGCUAUAUACG